ensembl:lncRNA
AGCCUACUUAGCAAGUGCAGUUAUGGAGGGUGGAGAUUUAGAUUAUUUACUUAAAAAUAAUUUUACCAAACUACCACAACAGCAGCGAAUCAAAAUAAAAUCCGAUGGCAGGUCAACACCGAAGCUGAAACUGCGCGUUGAGAGAAAGCAAGGCUUCUUUCGGACGUUCAAUGAAGAAAACUACGCAAACGGAGUGGCUAGCUGGCAGCAGCAAACCUCAGCGACUAUUUUGCUGGCCGUGUCUUCUUUUUGACAAGGAUUCGUGCUCCCUCAACAAUCCCUCGGUCACUACAGGAUUCGUGGACCUUGCCAACUUGUCCCGGGCAAUCGAGAGGCACGGAACAACCCGAGUUGCCCCAAGAGGACUUGGCAGCAAAUGAAGAUGAAGUACAAAAAUAUAGUUCAAACAGCAGAGCCCCGGCAGACUGGAGGGGGUCCACCUCUGCAGCCCUCACAGAGGCUGAGGAGAUGGCCCUCAGCCAACAGAGUAUGGGUCCUGUGGCUGAGGGCAUCCCUGGGGGGAGCUCCUCUGAUCCCCCCCACCCCCCAGGAUAGAAGUGCCUUUAUAAGAGUUACUGAUGGCGUCAUCGCCCUACUUUAACCAGAUGCCCUCACCAACCUCCAUGCAAUUGAAGAUGAUGGAGAAACAUUGUCUGCGGCAUUCGAAAGGGAAGAGGAAAGGCCUAUUGAGGUUAACACCUUUUAAAAAUAACCUCAAAAAGUUGAUGAUAGCGUUGUACAAUUUAAAACUGACAUCUUCUUUCUCCACUUCUAAAUCACAUCUUACCUCUGUAAGAUUCUCCCGGGAUUAUAAUGAAACGCUCUACUUGGCACUGUGAAAUCCAAUCUCAUCUUUUGCAUUCCUAUAGCUUCCAGUCAAAGACUUAUAUAAAAUCUAUCUAGAAAAGCAAAUACACAAAACAGACUUGGAAAUGGACCACCUUAGGCAAAAGGAUGCUUUGGAGAUCCAAAUAUUGGAACAUAAGUUAAAGGUGGGUGAGGUGCAAACUGGGAUACUGUUCCCUGCUCUAAAAACAUACCCAAUAUGAAUGACUUUUUUUGUGCUUUCAGGAAAUAAAGAAAUCCUCAUAAAAAGUAGAUUUUCUUUAUUAGAACACGGGCUGUGGUGGGACAAGUUAUUUUGUUGAACAGUUUACUCAAAGGGUUUUACUCCAGUGAACAAUGCAGACGAUUAUGCUGAGCAUGUGCAUGUAGAGAAGAAGCAUCUGGUUAAAAGCAGUAGCCUACCAGGGUAUUUUCUGCCUUGCAUUCUUAAUAUGCGUUUCUUGACUUGCAGCAGUUAUAGGUCUGUGGUUAGUCAGCUACUCUGAUCAUGGGAAAGCCACAACGUUAAAGUGACUGUAGUACAGAGCGGGUGGGUUGCACGGGGCGGAUCAUUCUGCAAAUGCGUUAAUUGCGUUAAAAAAAAAACGUAAACUUAAAGCAUGCCCCCGGUGCGUUUGAGAGUUAACAUGGGGGCUGAGAAGGUGG